rnacentral:rRNA from 1 species
UCCGGCCUAACACAUGCAAGUCGAGGGGUAGAAGGAGCUUGCUCCUUUGAGACCGGCGCACGGGUGCGUAACGCGUAUGCAAUCUACCUUUUACAGAGGGAUAGCCCAGAGAAAUUUGGAUUAAUACCUCAUAGUAUAUAAUCUUCGCAUGUUGGUUAUAUUAAAGUUCCAACGGUAAAAGAUGAGCAUGCGUCCUAUUAGCUAGUUGGUGUGGUAACGGCACACCAAGGCAACGAUAGGUAGGGGUCCUGAGAGGGAGAUCCCCCACACUGGUACUGAGACACGGACCAGACUCCUACGGGAGGCAGCAGUGAGGAAUAUUGGACAAUGGGCGCAAGCCUGAUCCAGCCAUGCCGCGUGCAGGAAGACGGUCCUAUGGAUUGUAAACUGCUUUUGUACGGGAAGAAACACUCCUACGUGUAGGAGCUG